rnacentral:piRNA from 1 species
GUCCUCCACAUAGGAAACCCAGUAAGUAGCA